UCUACCAAAUAAAAGUAACGAAUUCUUUUAGAUGUUAAAAUAAUUCCUUGUAGAACGGUUUUUGUAUGUUUUAGAACAAAUUCGAAAGUAGAGCUACUGUCGAAACGCAGUGAAAUGCGAACGCUGACUCAGCAUAUGACGAUAAGCUCUCUGACACUGCAAAUAACUAUGACUCAUAAAAGUUUAAAAGUCUCGUGCGCAUGAUAAGAUUUGACAUGACUGGAUUUGUUUAAGAGCCAGCAUGCAACGCCUGUACCUCCUACAGCUCUGUCAUCCUCAGUCGGUUCUAUCAUGGAAAGUCUCAUCACUUUUUCUUUCAUCUCUUCGUUCCACAGCCUCUAUCUAGUGAACAGGAACAGUUUUGUCUCCCUUGUUUGUUCCAAUAUCACCGGAAUAAGGCAGAGAGACUAGGCAGCCUUUUGUCAUCAGCAAAUCCUUAGGAAGGCAUCCUGUAUCCUCUGUAUUUCUGAUCAUGUACUGACAUAAGCACAGGUGUGAUAAGUGUGUCACUGUUCCCCCAGCCACAGAGAACGUCAAGGAUGAGACCACCACCAGCCAGCGCCACACAAAUAAGAGCCACAAAGUUGCAACCCAGACUCCAGUCAGCAUGCACCGAUUGACCUCC